UCCUGCAAAGCUUUAAGACGUGUCUAACGUAUUCCGAUCAUAAUGCAUUUUAAAUAUGCUGGUAUAUUCUUUUUAUACUUUUUUUAUUAUUAUCAACUAGCAAACGCAACAAAUCAACGAAAGGAAGUUAUUAAUUAUGAGAAUGUGGGUAUAUUGUAUGAUGAGGUACUUCUUGCGGAUCAAGAGAAGAGAUUACACAGUUCCAAGUUUUCUGAGUGUUUUCUAAAAAAUUUUAAAAUUUUGAAUAGAGGAAAAGUUACCAGACCUGGAAUAAGACGAUACUUGUAUGGCAACUCAGAAAAUUUAAUUGGAUUAAAAUUAACUACAACAGAUGUGAAAAUCCUUACAGAACAAUUGCCGGCGAAGGGCCAUAUAACAAAAGAAGAAUUAAGAGAUUUGUUUAGUGUUCAAUAAGGACGCUACAACACCAGCAGGUGGUGGAUUUAAAAAUGUAACGCCUCUAG